rnacentral:tRNA from 1 species
GCUGAUAUAGCCAGUUGGUAGAGCGCACCCUUGGUAAGGGGGUGAGGUCGGCAGUUCGAAUCUGCCUAUCAGCACCA